CACCUGGACGAGUUUGAUAGGC
rnacentral:siRNA from 1 species